UUGGAGGGCAAGUCUGGUGCCAGCAGCCGCGGUAAUUCCAGCUCCAAUAGCGUACAUUAAAGUUGUUGCAGUUAAAAAGCUCGUAGUUGAAUUUCGGGGUUAGUAGGUUGGUCAUGCCUCUGGUAUGUACUGAUCUCACUGAUUCCUCCUUCCUUAUGAACCGUAAUGCCAUUAAUUUGGUGUUGCGGGGAAUUUGGACUGUUACUUUGAAAAAAUUAGAGUGUUUAAAGCAGGCUAACGCUUGAAUACAUUAGCAUGGAAUAAUGAAAUAGGACGUUCGAUCUUAUUUUGUUGGUUUCUAGGAUUGACGUAAUGAUUAAUAGGGAUAGUUGGGGGCAUUAGUAUUCAAUUGUCAGAGGUGAAAUUCUUGGAUUUAUUGAAGACUAACUACUGCGAGAGCAUUUGCCAAGGAUGUUUUCAUUAAUCAAGAACGAAAGUUAGGGGAUCGAAGACGAUCAGAUACCGUCGUAGUCUUAACCAUAAACUAUGCCGACUAGGGAUCGGAUGAUGUUAAUUUUUUAAUGACUCAUUCGGCGCCUUACGGGAAAC
rnacentral:rRNA from 1 species